UACCCCCUCCCUAACAGGUGCUGUUUUUUGUGUACUUUAUAUAUUCUAAUUUAUUUGGGUAAAUGUAUUGUGAAGUAACUUGAUUUGUUUGCUUGUUUUAAUCAUCUUCUCAUCUCUUUGAGGUCACCUGGUCAUGUGUUGCCAUGGAAGCUCACCCAUGAGCAGUGCUGACAAGGACCUGGUGUUUCCAAUCAGCCUCAUUGGGAAAAUCCAUUUUCUGAGAGGGAGGAGAGAUUUUUUUGUUUCUAGUUUUGUUUGGGUUAAUUGCAAUUGUGUAGACAUUUUUUUAGGAAUAUAGUUUAGUACAAAUGUUUGUUCUUUCUUUCUGGAAAUGUGAAUGUCUCCACCCCUCUAAUCUUUGUGGAAGCCAAUCCUUUAAAAGCCAGGUGGUCCAGAUGAGAGGGAGAUUCUCCCUCUUCUUGUUGUGACUGAUAUGCUAUGCUGUGAACUGAAUUGAAACUGAAGAUAAAAGAAAAAUAUUGAGAGCUCU